AUGCCUAUGCCAACACUUAGUGUGUGGACAUCCAAAAGAGGAAAUUUAGUGGGUAGAGAUAAGAACUCAGUAAGGCUUCCUUUUCAAUCCGCCAUCUGCGGUGGGACCACCGCCAAGGUGCAGAUUUUCAUGAAAACCCUUACCGGGAAGACCAUCACUCUCGAGGUUCAACCUCCAGACACAGUAGAAAAUGUAAAGACCAAGAUCCAAGAUAAGGAAGGAAUUCCUCCUGAUCAGCAAAGACUGAUCUUUGCUGGCAAGCAACUGGAAGAUGGAUGUACUCUGUCUGACUACAACAUUCAAAAGGAGUCUACUCUUCAUGUUGUGUUGAGACUUCGUGGUGGUGCUAAGAAAAGGAAGAAGAAGUCUUAUACGACUUCCAAGAAGAAUAAGUAUAAGAGAAAGAAGGUUAAGCUGGUUGUCCUGAAGUACUAUAAGGUGGAUGAGAAUGGCAAAAUCAGUCGCCUUCGUCGAGAGUGUCCUUCAGAUGAAUGUGGUGCUGGAGUUUUUAUGGCCAGUCACUUUGACAGACAUUACUGUGGCAAAUGUUGUCUGACUUAUUGCUUCAACAAACCAGAAGAGAAGUAAUUGUGUAUGAGCUAAUAAAAAACAUGAACUAACAA